CUGGUACAAUGCGAAGCGAAGCAGUGAUGUGAAGCAAAUCGCACCAAAGCCAGUCCCAGUUCGGAUAAGAGGCUGAAACUCGCCUCUUUGAAGUCGGAAUCGCUAGUAAUCGCAGAUCAGCAUGUUGCGGUGAAUACGUUCCCGGGUCUUGUACACACCGCCCGUCAAACCAUGAGAGUCACCAACACCCGAAGUCCGCCUUGGCGGCCUAAGGUGGGGGAGAUGAUUGGGGUUAAGUCGUAACAAGGUAAC
rnacentral:rRNA from 1 species